CCUACGGGAGGCAGCAGUGAGGAAUAUUGGUCAAUGGUCGCGAGCCUGAACCAGCCAAGUCGCGUGAGGGAUGAAGGUCCUGUGUAUUGUAAACCUCUUUUGUCAGGGAGCAAAGCCCGCGACGCGUUGCGGGAAGAGAGUACCCGAAGAAAAAGCAUCGGCAAACUCCGGACCAGCAGCCGCGGUAAUACGGAGGAUGCGAGCGUUAUCCGGAUUUAUUGGGUUUAAAGGGUGCGUAGGCGGGUUGUUAAGUCAUGGGUAAAAGCGUGGGGCUAAACCCCGGCCCGCCGUUGAAACUGGUCUUCUUGAGUGAGCGAGAAGUAUGCGGAAGGCGUGGUGUAGCGGUGAAAUGCAUAGAUAUCACGCAGAAGUCCGAUUGCGAAGGCAGCAUACCGGCGCUAAACUGACGCUGAGGCACGAAAGCGUGGGGAUCGAACAGGAUUAGAUACCCCUGUAGUC
rnacentral:rRNA from 1 species